ACUAUGGAGAGUACAAGAACCUAUGAGUAGAUACAAUAUAUUGAAAAUAUACUCGUUGAAAUAGUAA
rnacentral:sRNA from 12 species